UGGGGAAUUUGGACAAUGGGCGCAAGCCUGAUCCAGCCAUGCCGCGUGCAGGAUGAAGGCCUUCGGGUUGUAAACUGCUUUUGUACGGAACGAAAAGACUCCUUCUAAUAAAGGGGGUCCAUGACGGUACCGUAAGAAUAAGCACCGGCUAACUACGUGCCAGCAGCCGCGGUAAUACGUAGGGUGCGAGCGUUAAUCGGAAUUACUGGGCGUAAAGCGUGCGCAGGCGGUUAUAUAAGACAGAUGUGAAAUCCCCGGGCUCAACCUGGGAACUGCAUUUGUGACUGCAUAGCUAGAGUACGGCAGAGGGGGAUGGAAUUCCGCGUGUAGCAGUGAAAUGCGUAGAUAUGCGGAGGAACUCCGAUGGCGAAGGCAAUCCCCUGGGCCUGUACUGACGCUCAUGCACGAAAGCGUGGGGAGCAAACA
rnacentral:rRNA from 1 species